rnacentral:rRNA from 1 species
GACGAACGCUGGCGGCGGGCCUAAUACAUGCAAGUCGAACGAAGUGGCGAACGGGUGAGUAACGCGUAAUCAACCUGCCCUUCAGAGGGGGACAACAGUGGGAAACGACUGCUAAUACCGCAUACUGAAGGAGGGGAUUGCGUCGGAUUAGCUAGUUGGGGGGGUAACGGCCAACCAAGGCGAGGAUGAGUAGCCGGUCUGAGAGGAUGAACGGCCACAUUGGGACUGGGACAAGGCCCAGACUCCUACGGGAGGCCGCCGUGGGGAAUCUUCCGCCAUGGACGAAAGUCUGACGGCGCAACGCCGCGUGAGUGAUGACGGCCUUCGGGUUGUAAAGCUCUGUUAAUCGGGACGCGGUACCGGAAUAGAAAGCCACGGCUAACUACGUGCCAGCAGCCGCGGUAAUAC